GACGAACCGUGCAAGCGUUGUUCGGAAUCACUGGGCUUAAAGGGCGCGUAGGCGGGCAGGCAAGUCGGAGGUGAAAUCCCACGGCUCAACCGUGGAAGUGCCCCCGAUACUGCCUGUCUCGAGGGAGGUAGGGGCGUGCGGAACUUCCGGUGGAGCGGUGAAAUGCGUAGAUAUCGGAAGGAACACCGGUGGCGAAAGCGGCGCGCUGGAUCUCUUCUGACGCUGAUGCGCGAAAGCCAGGGGAGCAAACGGG
rnacentral:rRNA from 1 species